rnacentral:rRNA from 1 species
AUGCCCCAAAAGCUUGCCAAACAAAUUCAUGUGCAUAGUUUAUCGGAACCCUAGGAUUUAGAAUAUGGGGAAGUAUCUGUUGAUUGGGGUACUACUCCUUUUAUGGGUGUCACAAUGGAUUUAUUGUCUAGGAUAUUAUCUAUCAUUUCAUAAAUUCAUAAUUAUUCUAUUUUAGUGGAUGGAAUUAUCACUAGUAUUGAAGGGGGCUAUUCACAUGGUUCAGACCCCAUUCACAUGCAUACAUUUUUGGAACCGAGUGCUUGA